rnacentral:rRNA from 1 species
GAUGAACGCUGGCGGCGUGCCUAAUACAUGCAAGUCGAGCGAACGGACGCGAAUCUUGCUUCUCUGAUGUUAGCGGCGGACGGGUGAGUAACACGUGGAUAACCUACCUAUAAGACUGGGAUCACUUCGGGAAACCGGAGCUAAUACCGGAUAAUAUUUUGCACCGCAUGAUUCAAAAGUGAAAGACGGUCUUGCUGUCACUUAUAGCUGGAUCCGCGCUUCAUUAGCUGGUUGGUAAGGUAACGGCUUACCACGGCAACGAUGCAUAGACGACCUGAGUGGGGGAUAGGCGACCUUGGAAGGGAACCAGGGUCAAGACGACUAAGGGAGGCAGCAGAAGGGAAUGGGACGCAAUGGGGGAAAGUAUGACGGAGCAACGCCGAGUGAGAGAUGAAGGUCUUCGGAUCGUAAAAAUCUGUUAUGAGGGAAGAACAGAUGUGGAAGGAAAUGUGCACAGAGUGACGGUACCUAAUAAGAAAGCCACGGCUAACUACGUG